rnacentral:piRNA from 1 species
CGUGCUGGAAUGUCUUUGGACCGGAGA